UAAAGGAAGCGAUUCCGGCUACGGAUGGUCAUGCGUCGCAUUAGCUUGUUGGCGGGGUAACGGCCCACCAAGGCGACGAUGCGUAGGGGUUCUGAGAGGAAGGUCCCCCACACUGGUACUGAGACACGGACCAGACUCCUACGGGAGGCAGCAGUGAGGAAUAUUGGUCAAUGGCCGCAGGGCUGAACCAGCCAAGUCGCGUGAGGGAUGACGGUCCUAUGGAUUGUAAACCUCUUUCGUCAGGGAGCAAAGGGCGCCACGUGUGGCGUUUUGCGAGUACCUGAAGAAAAAGCAUCGGCUAACUCCGUGCCAGCAGCCGCGGUAAUACGGAGGAUGCGAGCGUUAUCCGGAUUUAUUGGGUUUAAAGGGUGCGCAGGCGGAAUGUCAAGUCAGCGGUAAAAUUUCGGGGCUCAACCCCGUCGUGCCGUUGAAACUGGCGUUCUUGAGUGAGCGAGAAGUAUGCGGAAUGCGUGGUGUAGCGGUGAAAUGCAUAGAUAUCACGCAGAACUCCGAUUGCGAAGGCAGCAUACCGGCGCUCAACUGACGCUCAUGCACGAAAGCGUGGGUAUCGAACAGGAUUAGAUACCCUGGUAGUCCACGCAGUAAACGAUGAAUACUAACUGUCCGGGCAGAAUGAUGCCUGG
rnacentral:rRNA from 1 species